GCUGCGGGCCUGGACGCCCUCUUUGAUGCUGGCCGGGACGAUUUGGUGUUCCAGGAUCUCGGAAGUAGCUGCGGUCAGCGCCAUGUUAAGUCGGGGCAAAAGGGACGGAGUGAUUUGGGCGUUGGGCCCGGAAGCAAAUUCCCAAAGCGGUGUUGGAAGUGCAGAGGGCGUUUAGAUAUGCAAAGGGACGACCCGCCUUACAGAUGACGAGGGACAAGGUACUACUUUGGAAGCACGAGGACGUGGGAAGAGUGUGCACUUGUGGAAGCCAACCCCUCACCCCGAUAACAAACCUAUGGCUGGUGCCUCAUCACAGAAGCAGGAUGGACAGCGGAGCUAAUUUAAUUAAUGUGCUGUUUAAAAAUAUUUCAAAGCCUGUGGGCAAAAUCUUCAACACCCACUACUAGUAGCUUCAGCCUUCCCUUCCACCACUAGUUCCUGUCUCUCCGUUUCUUCCGGAGCCUGAAUCAGCACCUUACUGUCCCCGUGUGGCCUCACCUACUAGCCCCAGGACUCCAGCUUCUGUUCAACCCUCUCCUUGGCCCUGGCUGCUCCUUUUAGGCAUUCUGAAAAUAAGAGUCUCAAUGACAAGGUGUCAAGACUACCCAGAUGAAUUGUGUAACAACUGUGAAACGAGCUGUAAAGAGCCCGCAAAGAAAAUACAGAAUACAUGGUAUCACUAAAUCUGCAGAGUUGGCCCCAGAACAAAUCCACUACUCAGUUGCAGACAGACAUCAGGAGACAAAUGAAAUUUUCUAAGAUUAUCAGAGUGAGGAUGGCUUUUCCCUUCACCAUGUGGCAAAUAAGGGCCCAGGGGAGAAUUCCGAUGGUGGAAGCCACUUUACAUCAUAAACAGAACACAGAGAAACUAUUACAGGUAACUCACAAUGCUCUUUUCCAAUUAUGCCCAAACCUCAAAAGAUUUAUUUCAUUCACUAGCUAUUUCCAUAAAGACAGGACCAGAGUGAUAUACAAGUUUAUUAACACAAUCUGCAUUGUGAACAGUACCUCCUGGAGUUAUAUGAAAUGGAAAACCUGCAGGAGGAGCUUCUUCAAAAUGCAGAUUGACAUGCAAAUCCAACCGUUAGAGAAAACGCCGCUGUGUAGCCUGACGGCAAUUAUUUCCCUUCAAGUGAGGUUUGCAUGUCAG